AACGUAGGAGGCGAGCGUUAUCCGGAUUCAUUGGGCGUAAAGGGCAAGUAGGCGGUAUGCAAAGUUGGUUGUGACAUCUCCCGGCUCAACUGGGAGGGUGCGGCCAAAACUAGCGUACUAGAGGGCAGAAGAGGGAAGUGGAAUUCCUGGUGUAGCGGUGGAAUGCUCAGAUACCAGGAGGAACACCAGUGGCGAAGGCGACUUUCUGGUCUGCACCUGACGCUGAGAGGCGAAAGCUAGGGGAGCGAACGGGCUUAGAUACUCUGGUAGU
rnacentral:rRNA from 1 species